rnacentral:tRNA from 1 species
CGGGAUGUAGCGUAGCUGGUUAGCGCGUCUGUUUUGGGAACAGAAGGUCGCAUGUUCAAAUCAUGCCAUCCCGA